GGACUCUUUCGCGCGAGGGUAGGUGUGCAGACCGGCCAGGCGAGCCUCGCGUCCGGCAUCGCAAGCGCCGGCAGUUUCCUUCUUGGUUCUUGGGAUGGUGUUUUGCUUCUGCGCCCGCGCUGGUAGGAGCUAUGCGCCCUACCCGCCUACCUCGUGCACUUGUCCACGGUAGAUUUAAACCACACACGAAUUCGAAAAACAAAGUGAAACUACAUCCACGCCCAGUGGGAGAUGAGGCUUCUGGAAUCCAUUUUGUCCGUAGAGUGGAUAGAAGCCCCUGAAUCGUAUUUCUGGAGGCAGCCCUACCCAGCCACUGCCAGGAAAUUACCAAGCAUGUCCUGAAGAUGAAGAUACUCUCAGCCUAACGUCUCCAAGCAAAUAUUGAUUCAGCAGUAUCCCCAGGCAAAGCCACACCAUAUAUCAGUGAACAGAGAAACAACUGCCCUUCUCCGGGCCCCUGUCUGAGAAGCUGGAGCAUCAGCCCUGGAGCUCUCCGGAGCAGUUUCCUUGCUCACUGUCCCCAGCUGAACACAGCCGCAUGCAGAGGUCCAAAGCACGUAAACAGGAUACCCACCCUGCAUUAUCUUAUAUUUUAAGUCAAUAUGAAGAUGGACAUUCUACCCCUGAGACCAAUUUCGAUCAAAUACUUUUGUCAAUAAAAAGAUACUAAUGUC
rnacentral:lncRNA from 1 species